rnacentral:lncRNA from 1 species
CGCUCUCGCAAGGGUCCACCCGGGGUUCGUGCUUCUUCCUGUUUUGCCCUAGCUUCCCUUUAAACCUUCUUUCUUGCUUCUCCUUCUCCUUUGGUCUUGUCUUCCUCUUGGUUCUGGUGUUAUGGCCGGAACCUCAUCUCAGGGGGCUCGAUCGGGAAACCCGACCGAUGACCCUCGGUCGACUCCGAAAGUUGAGGUUUCCUCGCUUUCGGGGCCGAAUGUUGAUCGGCUUCGGGAUCAGUAUCGUAUCCC